AUGAUCAUGAUGACAGGCAUCAACUUAUCCACCAAAGCCAGAGGGCCAUGUUUCAACUCACCAGCAAGGAUACCUUCAGAGUGCAUGGUAACUACAUGUGGAUCUGAUUUAUUGGACUAAAAGACUGUUAAAGUCCUAUACUUCCAUACUGACAGCCAACACACAUCUUUGAUACAGAAUUUCAGCUUCCAAAAUCAACAGUCAAGUCUAUCAAAAAAGAAGACGUCCUUUCUCUGCAGAAAUGUGCUUACCAGAUUCCUACACCAGGACAGAAAGGAGGAUGUAUCCUUUCCAUCGAGGACACUGAGCUGUAACAGGACAAAAACGUUCACCCUUC